rnacentral:lncRNA from 1 species
UAAUUAUUACCCAGAAAAAAAAAAAAUCACACCUGCCUUUGUGCCUCACUUGGAAUGAGCUUUCUUCCCUCUGACUUCCAGAGGAAUCCAACUUCCAUUGGGUUCAGCCAAUGGAAGCACUAGGAGACCAGAGGGUGACAGGGUCGUGCAAACAGUCCAGCUGCUCCUGGACCAAGCUCUUCCUUGUUUCAUGGGAUGCACAGCAUGACUAGGAAGAAAACUUCAGCACUGGCGAUGAGAGCUCGCUUUCUUCAGGUCAGAGAUAAAUCCUU